CGCUAGGCUUGGGGAGCCACAGUGCGGCAGGAAAACCGCACCGCGGCACCAAGGGAUAGAAAGACAAACACAUAGGUUAUCAAUUCAAGAGUAAAUGGACGUGAAAGGGAGAAGCUGCCUGCUUCCAAAGAACGCAAACAAUGGAAAUAGUUCAGUUUCCAUUCCAGCCGAAGAGCAGUUUCACCUCUGAAAUCCGAGGAAACCUUCCCAGCUUGGUCUGACGAAGCCCACUUCAACUGAUAGACAGCAGUAUGGAUGAAAAACGCCAAAACUAGCGACUCAUUGUGUCAAAAGAGUCUGAACGAGACGACAAAACCCGCAGCAAAUCUAGCAUUUUAUGACUGAAAGGACUUGUGAAUUGUCUGCGGAAAGACACUGCAUCUCCUAAUUUACAGCUCGUUUUCCAACACAUUCCGGAGUGGUGGGAUGCUUUCGCGUUGAGUUGCUUCAUAGGCUUCACGAAUACAAUAAAGGGGAGAAACAUGGGCGAAGUUCAAGACGUCAGGGACGUUAAGAAGACCUUCGUCGCUCCAUCAAUAAAGUCCUUUGAGCACUAUGACUUCUCCCGAGCCAAAAUCUGUUGCAGCCUCACAUGGCUGGUGGCCAAAGCAUACGGGACAGACAGCAUCCCGGCAGACCUAAAGGACCCCUUCUACACAGACCAGUAUGAGCAGGAACACCUGAAGCCUCCCGUGACCAGCCUCCUGCUGUCCGCAGACCUCUACUGCCGGGCCGGCAGCCUCGUCCUGAAGAGCGACGCUCCGAAGCCCCUGCUGGGCCACGAUGCCGUCAUUCAGGCGCUGGCUCAGCGCGGACUCUAUGUCACCGACCAAGAGAGGCUGGUGACUGAAAGGGACCUUCGGAAGAGGCCUCUGCAAAUGAGCGCUCACCUGGCGAUGAUCGACACUCUGAUGACGGCGUACACAGUGGAGACGGUAAGCGUUGAGAAGGUGAUGGCCUGCAUUCGUCACUACUCGUCUUGCGACCCUGAGGUGGAAACGCCUUAUGAUACAGAGGAUGCAGUGAACACCUGGAUCAACAAGGUAAACGAGUAUCUGAAAGACGUCGUGGCUCAGGAGCAAAGGAAGAGGGAGACGCAGAGCGCCGAGCCUGCUGGGAGUCCUCGGUCUCCAACCAAGUGGUACAUGAAGCUUGUGCCCGCUCGCUACAGGAAGGAGCAGGCGUCGACCCAGCUGGUUCCCUGGAUCCCCCCAGUGGACAACCUGCUGAAAGACAGCACGGACGGCUCGGCCCUGGGCGCUCUGCUACACUUCUACUGCCCUCAGCUGCUGCCAUUGGAGGAUGUCUGUCUGAAGGAGAACAUGACUCUGACUGAUCGGCUGUACAACCUGCAGCUCAUACAGGACUUCUGCAAAGACCACCUGAACAGCUGCUGCCAUUUCAGCCUGGAGGACAUGCUGUACGCCUCCUCCAACAUCAAGAAUAACUACUUCGUGUUCAUGGCAGAGCUGUUUGGGUGGUUUGAGGUGGUCAAGCCGUCUUUUGUGAAACCCAGAAUGCUGAACGACGAAGGCACAGAGCCCUCAUCCUUGUUGAAGACUAUACCAGCUAUCCCCAUCUCCAAGGCCACCAAGAGGAGCUUCAUGGAAAGGCCCCCAAGUCCAGAAAGACCGAGUUUGCCCCUCCGUCCCCAGCCUCGAAACUCAGGAGAGAUUAAGAGGUCAACCUCAAUGUCCUUUGUCGAUGGCAACCUCGGCACCUGGCCCAAAGAAAAGAGGUCUGGACCUUAUGGAGUGUCUUUUGACAUCCCCUUUGACAAAGAGGACUCUGGUUCCGCCGGGCUGUCCUCUACGCGUGGCAUGGUCCGGUCCGUCAGCAGUGACGAUGGUUCUGGUUUCAAGGUCCACCACUUGCCCCAUGGAAUGAAGCGUAACCUGUCCUUCCAGCCAGUGAACGGUCAGAAUGUCGGCAUUGAGGAGGAGGGCUGCCCAGACAGCCUGGCGGAUGAGGAGCCUUGCAGGGGAGACCACCCCAACGGACAUGGAAGUGUCAAGGCAACAACUCCCUCCAUUGAGGAAGCCCUUCAGAUUAUCCAAAGCCCAAAUAGGCCCCCAGCGGAGGGGAUCAACAACAGUUUCUUUCUGCACACUCAGGAGCACAGGGCUGGUGUUGGUGUGUUGGAGCCAGUGUCAGAGUCGGACUCCAAAGGGCCUCUGAGCACCACAGACACCGCAGAGGUGGACACUGGCAUCCAUAUCCGAACAGAAGACAUGCUGGAUGAGGAUUCCUCUCUGAAGGACUGCUCUGUAAACAUGGACCUGGAUAUAGACACGCCAAGCCCCUGCCCAAGCAGUCAGAGCAAAUCCCCCUCCGGAUUUAAGAUGACAAGCUUUGCUGACCAGAAGAAGAAGAAGCAUACUCCAUCACUGCCAGACUCAGGUAGGUGCAGCAGCAGCUCCCUCAAGACCACUCCUGAGGGCUCUGAGUUAGGCCUCCCAUUAUCUGUCUCCUGGGCCCCGACCCCUGAGCACAGCCCCAUCCAUCAACAGACCACACCUCCCCUCACUGCUCAAGCAUCGCCCACACCCGUGCAACUUCCAGCCAAUGACCCUGCUCAGGUCAUGGCUACGGAGAUGGUUGAGCUGAGGAUGAGGCUGGAGGAGAAACGUAAAGCCAUCGAAGCACAGAAGAAGAAAGUGGAGGCUGCUUUUACAAGGCAUCGGCAAAAGAUGGGUCACUCGGUGUUCCUCAAUGUGGUAAAGAGGAAAGGAGACGGGGCUGCCAGUGGAGAGGAAGGAGGGAAAACAAGUCCCACCUUCAGCUUCGGGAGGAGCAAGGCAGACACACCUGAUGGGGCAGAGCAAAGUAGCACAGCCUCCUGUUGGACAAAGUCCCCUGGUGCAGGAGAGGAAGGGGGUCAAAGCCAUGCUCAGCUAACAGAGGUAGAUCUCACUGAGUAUACGCAUUCUAUUGAGAAACUCAACCAUUCACUAGCCUUCCUUCAGACUGAGAUGCAGCGACUGGCUCAGCAGCAGGAAGUGAUCAUGGCCAUGAGGGAGCAACAACAUCAGCAAGCGUGGGUAAUCCCAUCACCACAAAAACAGAGUCGAGCUGUUACUAGAUCCUCAGGACCAUCUUCUCCUGCCGACUCCCCUCGUUCCACCCACCGCUCUCCAACCAGCAUCAAGCGCAAAUCUGCCUCCUUCCACUCACGCAAUCCUCGCACCGUUCGACCCAACGAGCUAAAGCUGGCCCCGUACAAUCGGGUCCUAACUGCCCCACAAUCUGUCGACAGCAUCCCCAGGCUACGGCGAUUUUCUCCCUGCCAGCCCUUGGCUAGUUCUUUCGUUUACAUGGGGGAGAAACCAGUAACCGCCAAUCCAGAGACAGUAGCCUCAGAUGGAGAUAAAAAGGACACAGAGUCUCUCCUUUCCCCAGAGAGUGAGAAUGCCAGUAUAUGUGUAGCCAACCUACCGCCCAGCUCCUCCAACCUAGAAAACACAGAACCAGAUUCAGUUCAGAAGUCAGUUGCAGAUCUGAAACCUAUAGAGUCAUCAUUUCCUGAGGUUCUGGCCCACGCUGUGGUAGAGACCUUCACGGUGACACCUACAGAGAUUCCUCCCAGACCAGAAGCCUCAGGCCAAGUCAAGAGUAGCUUGAUUGAGGUUCCUCUGUCAGUGGUGAAGCCACUGGAGGAUCUGACACUGGAUGAUGGUUUGGACAUGCAGCAGGAGGAUGUGGAAGGCCCGGAUCACGAGCAUAAGAUGUCUCGUGGUUUCUUCUUCAAGGCGGAUGGAAAGCCAGAGGAGAACAUGGCUCAGAAGAGGGCUGCACUGUUAGAGAAAAGGAUGAGGAGGGAGAAGGAGAGCCAGCAGAGAAAGAUGCAGCAGGAGGCCGAGUUGGAGCAGAAGAAGGAGGAAGCUCGAAUGAAAGCAGAGGAGGAGCGCGUCAGGAAGGAGGAAGACAAGGCCAGGAGGGAGUUCAUCAAGCAGGAAUAUCUCAGGAGGAAGCAGCUGAAACUGAUGGCGGACAUGGAUACCGUCAUCAAACCGCGACCAGUCGGGACCAAGCAGAGGCGGGGGCGUCCCAAGUCCAUCCAUCGCGACAGCAUGGACUCCCCCAAAACCCCUGUCAGAGCUGCCACAGGUUCACGCCAACGUGUCUUUUCAGUCUCCAGCUUGUCCCUUGCUUCCCUCAACCUGGGAGACAGCGACAGUGUUCACUCUGAGAAGAGAUCACCGAGAAGUGCUAGUUUAGCCUCUGGUGGUCUCUUCUUCUUUCUGAGAUCUCCUAAACUGAGAAGGAGAAGGUUAGUUUCUGCUCGGCAGUUAAACCUUAAGUCUCUUCACGCUGCCCUGAGCCCAGUCCUGCACUGAAAGCUUGUCUCCACGCUGAGAUUUUUAGGGAUUGAUCAUAAACUUAAAGGAAUAGUAACAUAUUUCCUUAUGAUUAACUUCAAAGCGCUUGUCUCCACCACUAAACAAUCACUUGUCCCUUUCCACUUGCCUUCCCGCUGUGCCUUAUUCACACCUGAUAAAACAUCAAAGUGAAUUGUUUAGUUUUGCUCAGUCAUUACGAGUCAUUAAGACUCCACUUUAUCAAGUCAUUUAAGCCUAUAUUGUGUCUUAAAAUUUGCUAGUAGGAUUGAAAAAUGUGAAAAUUUAGACUUUUAUAUCCCAUUGGAAGAUGAUCAGGCCUUUUGAGAAAUCAAGGCUAAAAUGACUUGUUAAUGUGGGCAGUUUGACUUCAAGCAUUAUGACCCCAGUGGAAUAAGCUGUAUUCACUUGGAAAUCACUUGUUCACGUAUAUAUAGGGGACAAAUAAUGCAGUUGCAGUUCAGAAAAAAAGAGCAAGUAAAUGCCUAGUGCUGCACUAUAAUUAAUUGACCUAUUUUGUUGACCUUGAAUGCACCAGACUGCUUCAUAUCACUGCACUCACUGCCUGCGCUUGCAAGCUUUGCUUCUUUACUAGUUACUGUACAACAGACACCAAAACCAAGUCCAAACUCAAACUCUGUGCUGGUAUAGUACACGCAGUUUCCUCUACAGUAAAGAAAGAAUCUAUACGUGAUGUAGACGGGGCGGGGAAUGGACACCAGCCACCAGCCUAAUAUCUAGUUGGCUUGUGUAAUUGUACAGUAGUUUCCUGCCCUGUCUACAGUAUACUUUGCUGAGUGUUCAGCAGCCAUGCAGAAAGGUAACCUAACACUGUGUGUGUGUGUGUGUGUGUGUGUGUGUGUGUGUGUGUGUGUGUGUGUGUGUGUGUGUGUGUG